GAUGAACGCUAGCUACAGGCUUAACACAUGCAAGUCGCGGGGCAGCAUGGGGGUUGCUUGCAAUCCCCGAUGGCGACCGGCGCACGGGUGAGUAACGCGUAUCCAACCUGCCCUUCACCACGGGAUAACCCGGCGAAAGUCGGACUAAUACCGUAUGUUGUCCAUUGACGGCAUCCGAUUUGGACGAAAGGCUUGGCGGUGAGGGAUGGGGAUGCGUCCGAUUAGCCAGACGGCGGGGUAACGGCCUCCCGUGGCUACGAUCGGGAGGGGUUCUGAGAGGAAGGUCACCCACACGGGAACUGAGACACGGUCCAGACUCCUACGGGAGGCAGCAGUGAGGAAUAUUGGUCAAUGGGCGUAAGCCUGAACCAGCCAAGUAGCGUGCAGGAUGACGGCCCUAUGGGUUGUAAACUGCUUUUAUGCGGGGAUAAAGUGGCCCACGUGUGGGCUUUUGCAGGUACCGCAUGAAUAAGGACCGGCUAAUUCCGUG
rnacentral:rRNA from 1 species